rnacentral:rRNA from 1 species
GACGAACGCUGGCGGCGCGCUUAACACAUGCAAGUCGAACGGAAAGGCCCUGCUUUUGUGGGGUGCUCGAGUGGCGAACGGGUGAGUAACACGUGAGUAACCUGCCCUUGACUUUGGGAUAACUUCAGGAAACUGGGGCUAAUACCGGAUAGGAGCUCCUGCUGCAUGGUGGGGGUUGGAAAGUUUCGGCGGUUGGGGAUGGACUCGCGGCUUAUCAGCUUGUUGGUGGGGUAGUGGCUUACCAAGGCUUUGACGGGUAGCCGACCUGAGAGGGUGACCGGCCACAUUGGGACUGAGAUACGGCCCAGACUCCUACGGGAGGCAGCAGUGGGGAAUAUUGCACAAUGGGCGGAAGCCUGAUGCAGCAACGCCGCGUGCGGGAUGACGGCCUUCGGGUUGUAAACCGCUUUCGCCUGUGACGAAGCGUGAGUGACGGUAAUAGGUAAAGAAGCACCGGCUAACUACGUGCCAGCAGCCGCGGUGAUACGUAGGGUGCGAGCGUUGUCCGGAUUUAUUGGGCGUAAAGGGCUCGUAGGUGGUUGAUCGCGUCGGAAGUGUAAUCUUGGGGCUUAACCCUGAGCGUGCUUUCGAUACGGGUUGACUUGAGGAAGGUAGGGGAGAAUGGAAUUCCUGGUGGAGCGGUGGAAUGCGCAGAUAUCAGGAGGAACACCAGUGGCGAAGGCGGUUCUCUGGGCCUUUCCUGACGCUGAGGAGCGAAAGCGUGGGGAGCGAACGGGCUUAGAUACCCUGGUAGUCCACGCUGUAAACGGUGGGUACUAGGUGUGGGGUCCAUUCCACGGGUUCCGUGCCGUAGCUAACGCUUUAAGUACCCCGCCUGGGGAGUACGGCCGCAAGGCUAAAACUCAAAGGAAUUGACGGGGCCCCGCACAAGCGGCGGAGCAUGCGGAUUAAUUCGAUGCAACGCGUAGAACCUUACCUGGGUUUGACAUGGAUCGGGAGUGCUCAGAGAUGGGUGUGCCUCUUUUGGGGUCGGUUCACAGGUGGUGCAUGGCUGUCGUCAGCUCGUGUCGUGAGAUGUUGGGUUAAGUCCCGCAACGAGCGCAACCCUUGUUCACUGUUGCCAGCACGUUAUGGUGGGGACUCAGUGGAGACCGCCGGGGUCAACUCGGAGGAAGGUGGGGAUGAUGUCAAGUCAUCAUGCCCCUUAUGUCCAGGGCUUCACGCAUGCUACAAUGGCUGGUACAGAGAGUGGCGAGCCUGUGAGGGUGAGCGAAUCUCGGAAAGCCGGUCUCAGUUCGGAUUGGGGUCUGCAACUCGACCUCAUGAAGUCGGAGUCGCUAGUAAUCGCAGAUCAGCAACGCUGCGGUGAAUACGUUCCCGGG